CGUUCAAAACAGAGUUGGUGUUUAUUUGGUUAAUAGCAACUUAAUCUUAAAUUUCAGUUGUGAUUUUUUAUCUCAUUCUAAAAAUGUCGUCGUGCUGUGGAGGCAAAUGUGGUUGCGGGGCUGGCUGCAAGUGCGGCAGCGGCUGUGGAGGGUAAGUUUCUGUCUGUUUUCCUGGAAACAAGAAAACUUUCCCAGAAAUUUUUUCUGCUCUGUUUUUUCUCUUUCUUUUUUUGUUGUCUUUAAAUCAGGCCCUGAUCAAAUUUUUUAUCAUUUUUCAUUAUGUGGGUGUUUAUGAAUCUUCAUGCAGGUGCGGGAUGUACCCUGAUAUUUCCAUGGAACAGAGCACCACAACUGAGACCCUUAUAAUGGGGGUUGCACCUCAAACCUCGUAUGUAUUUUGUCACAUCCAUGAAAUUCCAUAUGAUACUUUUUUACACUUUUCUCAUUUGAAGAUUUUGUGGUAAUUUUUUUGCUAAUUAAUUUGUAAUUGGGUUUUUAAUCUGCAGUCAUUUUGAGGCUUCUGAGAUGGGUGUUGUUGCUGAGAAUGGAUGCAAGUGUGGAGACAACUGCACCUGCAACCCCUGCAAGUGUGGAAAGUGAAAGAAAAAUGACAGCUUUUGAAGAAGAGGAUGAUGGACUUCUAAUAUAGUAGCAAGUAAUCUAUGCGUGUGUGGUUUUUAUGAUCCAAAAUACCAAGUUUGUGUGUUUUAGGAACCGAGUUAGGAACUAAGUUUUAGAAUAAAGUGGUCAUGGCCCGGCUCUUUGCAGAUCCUUCUAGGCUAGGAUCUGAUAAGGGUGAUCCUAGGCAUGCCUGCUUGUGUCUGUUUUCAUUGCACAAAAGUAGUAUCUAUAUAUGUAUGUGGGUUUGUGAGGUGUUUGUUGAUUGGUGGAUCAUAUUUUAUGUAAUUGUGAGAGGGGAUAAAGAGUUUUUAAUGUUAUGAAUGAAAACUAGCUCCUUUAUUUUACUUUAAUUUGUGGGAUUAAUUAUGGUUUUGGUGAUAAUGGUGACAUCUUUGUGCAUUAUUUAAGGAUUUGCAAAAGACAACACGGCAGGUCAACAAGAUAUCAUACUUAUCUAGAAGAGAUUUCAAUGUACAUGCGCUAACAAGACCUUGAACUUAUCUGGAAGAAAUUUCAAUUAAGUUUUAAGUAUGUACUAAUCAAACAAAUUAUUUAAGGAUUUGUAACCCAACAAAAUAAUAUGAAAGUAGUGGACUAUCUAUACUUUUUCGUGAGAAAAGUAGAAUUCUACUCUCAUGUUUUUUUUUUUGUCUUCUGUAAUUGAUAGAUUAUUGAGAACAGCCUCCUCAAUGCCAAAAGAACACUUUCACCCACUUUCACCCAUCUGUCAAUGGCAAAACUAGAUAAGAUUGCAAGCAAGUUGUAGAUUUGGGCAUAACUGAGCGGAUAAGUGCUUAGAGCGGAUGCGUUCAAUGUUAGAAUAUCGCUUGUAUAUGAAAAAUAAAAAUAAAAGAUUGCUAGGCUGAAAUUAAUCUGUCUACACAAAUCCAACACAGGGUCUUUUUUAGUCUUACAAGGACACGUAAUUCACAUCAAUAUGGAAUCUGAUGAGCUAAUUGUACAGACUCUGCUUCAUAAUGCUUACUACUUGACAUGUGAAAUCUCUGAGCAACUGGGAGUUGCGUUUGUUUGCUUAUCAAAUACUCCUACCGCAGCUUUAUUAAACAGGUUAACAAUCUGUUAAACAAAAUUUAAAAGUAGAUUAGCAUCUAAAUACAUCAUUUAAUGGAAAAAGUUUUGACUCGAAUGUAAAACUAUCUUUUAGGUUCACCUGCUUAGAUGAGAGACCUAUUUUCUCCAAAUCGCUCAGCUGAAACAUGACAUAUUCAACUUCAGAAUUACUGUGUUAAAUGUAAUUCAAAGUUCAUUUCACUGAGUUUUGCUUACCGAUUUUAAAGGGCUCGUUUCUCUGAGCUCAACUAUGUAUUCAGCCAUUUUGACACCUAUUCCCUGAAGGAUACACAAAAGAGAGAGAAUUUCAGAAGGCAGCAAAUCAGUUUUAAGAACACAAAUAUGUGCUGUUUGUUUGACAUGAACCUUCAACUCCAGUAGCUCCUCCCUGCAAUUAACAAAAAAACAGUCAAAUUUCAUUUGUACAAUUGAGUGUUUAAAAAAAAUUGAAAGAAAUGAAAAUGAGGAUAUUUUGAAAAGACAAUGAACCGUUACCUGUUGGCUGUAUUCAAGAAAUCAAUAUACUCUUUAAGCAGGACGUUCUGUGAAAUAAGAAACAGAGAGAUGAGGAUCACAUAUUCAACAGCUUAAACUUAUGGAGUUAAAAGUAACAAUUGUACCUUUAAGUUUGACCCACAAGCAGUGAAUUUAUGAAGUGGGGUGCGUGUUUUUUGACUUCUAUUGUUCCUCUCCGGAGGAGUUUUUGGAGUCUCUGGCUCAAAGAGAAGGGUGCAAUCUCCAUUUGUGAAUAAGGGUUCAAUGAGGGGCUUUUGCUUUAUAUUGGUGUUGAGAGGAGAGAGAGCUUUUCUUAAGGAACUUCGUAGUGUGCUUUUCCUCUCACUGACAGGUGAUGAGUCGAAAUUGUUGGCAGAGCUUUCCUCCUGGUUUGAUGCCUCACCUAUGCAGAUAUCAAUAUAGAAGCUAUUAAUAUUUCAAAUAACUAAACAUGCAAAAAUAAGACAACCAUUCAAUUUGUUCAGGGUAUUUGAAGCAGCAUAGCAAGUAAACAAUUCAUGCAUAGCUGAAAAAUACCGGGUAAACUUGUAUUUGAUUCCAAUACAGAUUCACCAGCUACAGCAUUGCCCUCUUCUUUAUCACCAGCUAAUUGCAGACUCUGAAAAGCAAUUCAGACUCAUAAAUACAAUGACAUAUAAUAUGAAGCGCAAGAUAACUAACUUGGAAUGCAUUUAGUAGCCUUUCAUUCCCAUGUGGAGCUACUAAACUAGAACUUUUUUCUAAGUUGUUAGCCAAUUAUAAUUCCCAAUAAUGUGAAAACCACAGUUACACAAUACAUGAUAGAAUGAGAAUGAUAAUCAAUGGGAGUUUCCUUAUUAAAUAGUAAUUACCUCCAAAUUAGAAUCUACGGUGCUUUCAUUAUAGAAAAUGUUCCUGAAAGGCACAGUGAUUAUCCUGCAAAAAAUUUUAACCAAUCAGGCAAGAGAGAGUAGUACAUAGCAUAAGGAUGUUCCAUUCAACUAGUUACUUGUACCUUUCUUUGGCAUUACAGGUGCUUCUGUUAGUCAAAACCUUGGCUUUCACAGAGCUGAGGUUGAUGGUGGGUUUCUUGACAUUGGCAAAAGAACUUGGAGUUUUCCCCAACAAGGGAGAAUUGAAUGCUUGAAUUCUUUGUGCACUCUUUGUCUUUCCUCUUGAUUCAAGCCAAGCACGAAGUUUGGCUUCCAUGUCAACUUUAACCUUUGGAGUCUCUUGCUUCUUAGCUGAACGAACAAAAUUGGUGAUGUGGCGUGACCGAGCUGCCAGGCUGACAGUAUGAACAGACUCCGGGUACUCUCCUGGAUUCUAUUAUCAAAGAAAAAUGGAUUACAAAUAAACCACCGAAAAAAAAAAUACAAGUGACAGGCCAGACCAAGGCAUUGCUAACUCAAACUCCUUACCAAGCAAGCAACCAUCAAAGCCUGACUCAUCCCACCUAGUGAGUCUUGCAAUAUACGAGUCAAUUUACUCUCCCUAUAGGGAACUCGGGAUAAGUUGUUGUUCAAUGCAUAAAUGACAUUAGACAAGGCAAACAAGGACUGGUUGAUCUUUGCACUUUCUUGUAGACGAAUCCCUUCGUUGCAAGUUCUUCGAUUAUCUUCAUUGCCUGUUUGAAGUACACAUGUGGAUUAAAUAUGAGAAGACAAAAACCAUAAACAAACUCAAUUCCCUAGUGAAUUUCACCUUACUUAAGCUACUGGAAAAAGGUUAGGAAUACGAAAAAGACCUGCUAAGUCUAUGAGAUUCAACUUCCCAGUAACAGCCGCAGAACCAUCAUCCCAAGGAGUGGAAACGGCAAUCACAAGGACCCCAUGGCUCCUACUAGAAACAUCAUUCAGACCUGUAUGUGCGAUUCUCCGCCUCUGAAUCCCACAAGAAAAAGCCUCAUAAAACUCAUCCAUGGACUUUACAGGGACCCGAGAGAGUCCCCUAAGAUGAAUCUGCCCAUCUUUGUCAUCCAAAACCGCAAUUUCCUUGGCUUUGAUCUCUAACAGGUCAUAACACCUGUCCAUAUAGACCUCGUAGUAUGAAAUUUCAACUGUGCUUCCUGUGCACUGGCACAUAGACAUGAUUGUGGACAUGGCCAGCGGCAUUAGACCCGGCAUCUCAUCUGUGCCCUGACACAUCAAUCACAUGCUGAAUUAAAUACUGCGGAAGAAAAUUCUUCAAAACAAAGACUUGAAGCUGCAUUUAGUUACUUGGGCAACACAAAAAAGUUUAUAGACAACUCUACCAUAUAAUUCAGAAUUUUCAUUUUCUUAAGGGAAAAGUAGAAAUGAAGUUCAGUACUUCAUUGAUCCUAAUACAAAGAUUUGAAAUUUUUUUGGGGCCAACCAAUGCAUUGAAGUUUCCACAUUCAUAGAAAUGUCUAUGAUUAACCAAAUUAAUGCCCUCGUCAAACUUAAAUGCCUUACUAAUGAGGGAAAAAACACUGAACCCAACAAAACUUUCAUCUUUUUGGAUAAAUCAAAUUCAAACCUGCAUAGUGUAAGUCUUUCCACUGCCGGUAGCUCCAUAGGCAAACACCGUAGCAUUGCAGCCAUGAAAGAGUCCUGGAAUCAAAGGGCUCACUUCUCUGUAGAAGAUCCGACCAACAUUGUUGUCCUCUUGGGCAAAGAAAGAGUCCAACCGGUAACACUCGUUUCGGCUACACCCAGAAAACCAAAAAUAAUCCAUAAUUCAAAACCCAGCUUCCAAAAAAAGAUAAAAACCCAAUAAAUUUCUUCGAAUUAUCUGACAGAAAAUUAAGAAAAUCCCUCACCUUGAUUCUUUAUCUUUGAGAUAAACAACCACUUCCUCAGUAGAAGACUCACAUUCUUGUUCAAUUACUGAAACACACGGCGUCUGAUCUCCGUUAUUGGCAGCGAUCUCGUGGGGAAGAAAAGGACGAACCCUCACAAUGACCCUGACCUUAGAACUUGAAUUGGGGUUCAUGGCUUUUGCUGGAGUUGCAGAACUAUCUAGAACUAGACCACUCUCCAUUACAGAAGAAAAAUCUAGCUUGAUUGAGCUUGAGAGAAAGAGAGAGACUGGGGAGUUGAAUUUGCAGAGAGAGAGAGAGAGAGGAGGGAAUUGUAACUGAAAGCAGUAGAUUAGAGGGAAGAAGAAGGUGGUUUUGAAACUAAUUGACAAUACCGUUGGUAGAGACAGAACAAAAAAGCUUGGGCCUCGCUUUUCUAGUUUGAAUUUGGAUAUGGGGAGCAAACUUGCCGUUGGGCCUGUGGGCCCCACUAUUUUCUAUAUUAUUAAGUGCGCCCCUAUGGUCAAAAUUUGAAUUACCAAAAACUUGGAGGAUCUGCCAGCAGGCGGCCUAAAUGCGUUAAAGGGUUUAAGACAGAGGCUAUAAACCCUAAAACCCCAAAAUUGUUGGAAUCAAAGACGAAGAUGGACAAAGGCAUGCUGGCAGCGGACUUGGAGGGUCUUCCUGAAGAAGAUAAGCAUAGAAUGGCCACCUUGAUCGACCAGCUUCAGAUUCGUGACAGGUUUGUGUGACUUUUUAUGUAUAAAAUAUUUGUAAAUAUAUGUUUGUGCUUUGUGAAAAUGGAGUGUCUUUGUCUAUUUCUUGUUCUUGAAAUAGUGAAUUUAUUAAUUUAUAUCUAGUGAGACAUUUUCUGAUAUGGUGCAUGGUAGAUUGAAAUCUUAGAGAAAUACCAAUCAUGAAGAACCCACAAGAUGAAUUUAUUUAUUUAUUUUGCAUAAUUGUGUAUUGAAAAUAUGGAAUGAGGAUGUAAUUUCAGUGUAAUAAGUACAGGUUUGUAUACGCAGAUGAUGAUUAUCAUGAGUUAUAAUUAUGAAGUCUCUGGUUUCUGUUAUGUUUGUCCAAAAUUGCAGCCUGAGGAUGUAUAAUUCAUUGGUGGAGAGAUGCUUUACUGACUGUGUAGACACCUUUCAGCGCAAAGCCCUGACCAAGCAAGAGGAUUCUUGUGUUCGUAGGUGCGCCGAAAAGUUCCUUAAGCAUUCGAUGCGCGUUGGCAUGAGAUUUGCAGAGCUUAACCAAGGAGCAGCAACUCAAGAUUAAGCUAAGCUCCGUAUGAAUCAUCUUUGGCAUGGAAAUCUUAUAAACCUUUUGAAUUGGUUUAUGACAGGUGCAAUUGGUUUACCCUUGGUUUUAGAAUUAUGCUUCUUACAUUGAUUGGAUUUGUACCCUUAUAAAGAAGAAACUUCUUGUCAGGUUUUACAGUUUAGCUGGAUAUGAAUCAGUUGCUAACUUAUUACAUAUAAAUUUUGUUCCAUUUCCAUAUGUUCUUGGAAAGGCAUGAACAAAAACUUUUGCCCCUUUUCCAUAUCAGAUUGUGUGACUUUACAAUAAGAGAAGCUGGGUAACUAGGUUUGUGUUAUCAGCUUGAUUAGCUUGCUAGCUUUCUCUUUUGUUUCCCUUAAAUUAUACUUUAUUUGGGACAGUGAUCUUGACAGUGAACCAACCAAGUGCUGCUUAUUGUUCACAUUAGUUUAGAGUACAAUUGGUUGGUAAAAAAGAUUUGACUUCUGAGCUUUGGCACGAAGGCCAAAGAUGACAGAGGCCAACAUAUGAUUGAGAAUUGUCUUGAGGUGCAGAGCUUGAAUUGAAUAUGCUGUGAUAUAUGGUCAAUUCUGUGCUUGCAUACUUUUACUUAGUUUUUCAACCAUGUAAGAUUGUUCCAAAUCAGAUUUUUCAUCCAUUUUUAUUAAUGGAACACGUUACAUAAGGCAUCAAUUACUGUCCAAAUUAUAUCUUUCAUUCAAUGUGGUUCAUGAGAUUUAAACUUAUGAUAUUUUUUCAACAAAAUUAAAAAUGAGUGUCUCAAAUGAUGGUUGGCAAUCUUGUCGUCGGUUUAGUUCCUAUUAUUUGAUUAUAUUCUCUCUCUUUUUUCAAGUAUUAUUUGAUUAUAUUCACCAAACUCAAAAGAGCAGCAAAACUAACGGGCCCAAGAAAACAAAACUAAAACGAACAAAAAUUGCUCGACCAAUUUGCAAUCAAACCCCUAAAACAAUUCAUAAGCUUAAAUGAGCACUACUACCGUCACUUGAAGCAACACUACCAUCAAAGAUGGUCUCAAGCAGGUUGCAGCAAACUCCGUCAAAUGUGUAGAACUAGUUAUGGGAAUCAAACUACAAUUUAGACAAAAAAUACUAUACAGUUCGGAUUUGAUUGUCGAUGAAGUAUGAAAAAGAAAAAGAAAAUGGUCAAGUUCAGGGUUUUCCCGCCAACCAACGGUCCAGAUCAAUGAGAAUAGAAACAAUCAUAGCACAGAAAGACAAAGACCAUCAGGCACCGUACACUAAGCCAUGAUCUGACGUUCCAGCGAACAUUAAUACCCUAUUUAUUAUAGUUAAACGUUUCUUUCCAAACAAAACCCACUUAAACCACGAGCUAUUUAUGUCCAAUCCUACGGUCCGAAAAUGCCCGCGAAGCAAGCCGCCCAUCCAACGGCUCCAAACUCGUUCGAUAUUUAACAAAGAGCCUAGAGUGCCGUUUGAGGUUCAAACUUUUGGUUUUGGUCCCCUAACGUUCUGGAUGAACCGUCAACCGCCGUUAAGUGAUAGGGUUUUCUAAAGCUCACAAAAACUCAAAGCCCUUUCGAUAACGGUAAUUAACGGAGACGUCGGUGCAUAUAUAUUCGUUAUAAAUUUAUAAUAGUUUUUAUUAUUAUUUCCUUUUAACCUCUGUUUCUUUCUCUCUCUCUUCGUUUCAACGGGCGAGGAUUUUUCGAAACCAAAAAGCUCCCUUUCAUGUUUCAGAGAAGAGGCUUCUGAAAUCUGUUCGCCUAAUCGAUGAGCUCGAAUUCGAUUCCCGCCACUUCUUCACAAGCAUGGGUACUCUUACUUUCAGAAAAUGGUUUUUGUUUCUUGAAAGAAAAAACUUUUCUUCUUCCUAUUUUGUUGAUUUGCUUUCAUGUUUUUUCACUGGUCUCGAUCAAGUUUCCACGUUUUCUUGGACUUCAAGUUGCUCCGAUUUGUGCUGGAUUUAUUUGGGUUUUGGAUUUAAGUCUUGUAAUUCUCUUUAAUUUGCGUUUUUGUAACAGUUUUUUGAUCUGGAAACUCUUUUUAAGAUCUGGGUCUUGCUUGUCUGGGUUAUGGCGGUGGGAUUUUUAAGAUUUUGGAGUAAAUUUAGGGUCUGUUUUAGGGUUUUUAGUGUUUAUGAUUCGUUUGAGGGGUUAUUUUUGAAGGGUUUUGUUUUAUGUUUGUGUGUUAUGUAUCUAAUUAUUGAUUAGGAUUUUGAAUUUUGGAGAUUAUUUAUAGGAAGAGAUGGAGGAGGUAAAAUUAGAAGAGUGUUGCCUUGAGAAUAAGCAAUCAACGGCUGCUUCCAGCUCGUCUGUGUCCGAAGGCAGUGGCAGUGCUAUUCUCAAGUCCCCAGGGGUUUGCAGCCCAGCAUCAACUUCUCCGACUCACCGGUACUCUCCCUUAAUUCCUAACAGCUGUAAUUUAGUUACAACUAUAGUGAUGUUCUCUGUUUAAAAAUCAUUCUCUUCAUAACCGGGAUUAAAUUAUGAAUGUGAUGUUUAUUUUAGGUUUCACGCAUUUGCUUUUAGACCUUUUAAUUUAUGAUUCUCAAUGAGUGUUUGGAUCCUCAUCUACUGGAAAAUGGAUAUGCUGAUCGAUUUUUGUUGUGAUCAUUUUUCAUUGUUUAUAAUUAUCAUCAACAGUGUUGUGGUUAGUGAACUGAAAUAUGUGAAUUUGAUCUUUCAGGAGGACUAGUGGUCCUAUUAGGCGAGCCAAAGGCGGUUGGACUCCACAGGAGGUCAGCAUUUCAUUCUGUACUUGUGUUCACUUCUUUGUAAUAUCAGCUAGAAGCAUGAACAUUUUUGUGUUUGUUACUAGCACAUUGAAGGGAGAGGUUCAUCAUUGUCAAUCAUCAAAUCAUCUAAUUUGGAAAGGCCUGAAACUGUCAUUUCUUUUAGACUUUCUGGUUUUAUUACUUCUGUUUUCAAUAAUGUACACCGUCUCUAUCUCACCCAUUUUCACAUGUUGCUGCUUAGAUACAUGCUCUUAUGUUUUCUAAGCCAUAACUCUUUUUGGUGCGUGAUUUUAAUUUGCAAUAACAUGUUGAUUGGUCACAGGAUGAGACAUUAAGGAAUGCGGUUGCAGCUUUUAAGGGGAAGAGUUGGAAGAAAAUAGGUUUGUCUCUGUCCUGAUUUAUGUUGUGUAGUUGCAAAAUUUCAGUUGUUAUGGUGCUUUUAGGUAGCAGUGAGUCUGCUCAGGCAAUGUGCUCCCGUAACUUAAUGAGGUCUUUUAAAUGGUAGAGAUUUUAAUAAACUUAAAGAAAUCUUAUUUUGGCUGAACAAUAAGAAUAUAUUCAGAGCUCUAAAAAUUCAAAGCAAACCAAUCAUAUGACAUAGAUGGACUCCCAGUAGACUGGGUAACUGUUCGUUCAAUCCACUAAUUUCUGUUCUACCUAUGUUGUAAAUUACCAAAAGGGGGUAGAACAGUAUAUAAAUUACACACACGACUAGAAACCUAGUCUUGGCUGUAUUACCGAGUAUUUUAUUUGUUGUCAUAUUAUGCUUAAAUUCAGGCAACUAAUCUAAUAUUUGGAACAAUGUGUAUGCAGCUGAAUUUUUUCCUGAUAGAUCGGAAGUGCAAUGUCUGCAUCGGUGGCAGAAGGUUCUUAAUCCAGAUCUUGUUAAAGGACCGUGGACUCAAGAGGUUGGAACCUGAUACCAUCCUUACUUUUUGUGAUCCUUUCUUGUAGUUUACGUUGAACUUUCUUUAACUUGUUUGUUUUGUAGGAGGAUGAUAAAAUCAUUGAAUUGGUAGCAAAGUAUGGACCUACAAAAUGGUCGUUAAUAGCUAAGUCUUUGCCCGGCCGUAUAGGGAAACAAUGCCGGGAGAGGUAACCUUAAUAAGUUUAAGUCCUUAUGUUGUUGUCAAAUGCGACCCUGGAACUCUUGAGCACUAUAAUGCUGAUCUGAUCUGUUUCAUGUUCCUCUUAAAAUGAUCUUUUUCUUUCUUUCUGGAAUUAAGAUUUAUUCUUUUUAUUACCUUUAGUUUUGUAUGACUCUGAUGCUUUAUGCAUCAAUGUUAUUCCUUCCAUUGGCUUUUAUCUUCCAAUCGAUUUCUUCAUGAAAAGCAAAUAAAUGGUUUGGGCAGUGUAUACACUUGUAAACACAAUGGAACAAAUUUUUUUUUUUAAAAUACAGGUGGCACAAUCAUUUGAAUCCAGACAUAAAGAAGGAUGCUUGGACGUUGGAGGAGGAAUUAGCACUUAUGAAUGCCCAUCGGAUACAUGGGAACAAAUGGGCUGAAAUAGCUAAGGUUUUACCUGGAAGGUAUCUUUCUUUCUUGAUUUUUUAUUUAUGAAUGGCGUUGAGGUGCUAAAUUAGGGCAACAUUGAGGUACAUGUAUUUUGAAAAUCAAGUUCUUUGGUAUUAUUGUGCGUAUGUACUGUUUACUAAGUCAAAUUUUGUAUAACUUUGUGUUUGUAGGACUGAUAAUGCAAUAAAGAAUCAUUGGAAUAGUUCCUUGAAGAAAAAAUUAGAUUUCUAUUUGGCUACUGGGAAACUUCCACCAGCUGCAAAGAAUGGUUCCCAGAAUGGUGCCAAAGAGACAAGUAAAUCCACUGCAACUAAAAGAUUACUUGUUUGUUCAACUAAAGGAUCAGAUUCAACUGCUCAGACAUCAUCUGGAAAUGCAGAUGUAUGUAAGCUAGAUGAAGAUGGCAAGGAUCAGUUCGAGUCCUCCGCCCCACAUCAGGAUUUGGGUGCUUCAUCAAGUGUUCUUCCAAAUGAGCCUGCUGAUUCUGAAGGUGUAGAAUGUCAGCUGAGAUCAUCCUUUAGAGAUCUUAGUUGCUGCAACUCAGAGUCAGGGUCAAAGUUUGAGAAUUUUGCAGUAAACAGCAAGCCCCAGAUUGAGAGUAUCAUUAACAGCCAGGCAGAGUCUGAGAAUUGUGGAUUUAACAACCUAGUAGAUGAAGACAGAGUUAAGAGAACACCUGUGCCAGUUGAAACUCCAGGCUACGGCUCUUUGUACUAUGAACCACCGUUAGAAAGUUGUGGUCCAUUUGAUUCAGGUUUUUCAAGCAUGCGUUGCUUUCAACAUGAUUACGCUUCUAGUCCAAAUGUAUCACCUAUAAGUUUCUACACUCCGCCUUGUGUGAAGGGCAGUGGUUUAUGCAAUCGAAGUCCUGAAUCAAUUUUGAAAAUGGCUGCCAAGACCUUCCCCAAUACUCCUUCCAUCUUGCGAAAGAGAAAGAAUACUUCCCAAGGACAUUUGCCUCCUAAUAAAAUUGGGUUGGUGGAUUGUGAAUCAGUCAGGGAAGUGCUUAAUGUUUCUGAUGAACAGGAAAGACACAAAAACAGUGCGGAAAUGUCUGGGUCUCAAGAAGAAAGUUUGUGUGAGAGUCCAACCAGUCAAGGUAUCAGCACCAUUGGGCCUAAUGGUAAGGCUUUUAAUGCAUCUCCUCCAUACCGGUUAAGAGCCAGGAGGACUGCUGUUUUCAAGUCUGUGGAGAAACAACUUGAGUUUACAUGUGACAAAGAGUAUGAUGGUAAUUCUAAAUCUGUGGAGUUGUCUGCAAAUGGAGGCUCUGGUGUUAUCAAAGAUUGUUCUCAUGCAACAAAGAUGGAAGUGACCUAGGGCAUGCACUGUAAGUUACAGUUUUGCUUAUCAUUGUUCUUGAAAUCUUUUUUUGGAACUGAUAUAGGUUCAUGCUUGGUAAAGCUGUCUUUUAUAUUUUACUUGAGGAUGGAAACUGGAUCUGAUCAUGUCUCUGCAUGGAGGAUCUAUGUAUGACAUAUAAUUGCUUGGUCAAGUGGUGAAUUAUUUAUGAUUAUAGCUUAUCCAGUUGUUGAAUUUUGUCCUACCAUUAGAUUUUUAAUAACACACCUGACAUGAUACUUAAAUGCAAAGAUGACAAGCUUGCUGAGGAUAGUGCAUAGAUGUUUUAGUUUUCUGAUAAAGGAAUCAAAGUUGUCAUUCUUUGCAUUAUGGAUAUUAAGAGUUGGAUCUAUUUCCUUCCUCAUUCUUUUCAUUUUGUAGCCUUUGUUGCCAAAGUUAGAAAAGAGCCAAACAAUCUUGCCGCCUUUGUUAGAGUAAAGUUACCAUUAGAAAAGAUUUGUGAAGAUCCUAAGUCUCUUCAAUAUUGGUGGUACAGAAUCCAAAGUGAUAGAUAAGUGGAAAUGUGAAACUUUCUUUUGUUUAUAUGAACUGAUGAAGUAAACUAUCUCCUAGAUAGUGGUGAAGGAAUUUGUGUACUUGAAGUUGUUUUUAUUUUCCUGGUUAGUGAUGAAAGAAAUAGUGUUUGCAUAUUUUCUCACUGUAUCUGCUCUAAAUAUUCACUUUCUUUAAGCCCUUUUCUUUCGGCCUGCUAUUGGGUUCAUCAUUGAAAUAGCGAUGGAAUGAAGCAAUAGGCAAUUUCAAAUAAGUUUCUGAUUUGGUUUCCUCUGUUAUUAUUCAGGUACAAAGGAGGGUGAUUCUAUUGAAGUUGGCUGACACUUUUGAAUUGGUGAUAUUUCCAAGUCUACAGAGCUCUUUUGAAAAGCAAUUUAUCGAUUUAUCAGACCACUCUCUGGUCUCGCAUCUUGGAUGCCAUACAAUUCAUUAACUUGCAAAUACACCACCUGAUCGUUACAUUGGAGGGGUUUUUCAGCACAGCAACUUGACAAAAUACAGUGGCAGUGGGCUUCUGUUUUGUGUAGAAUAAAAAUGAUAGGCCCCAAUACUUGUGAAAAUAUAUUGCUUGUACAGAAAACCCAUCAGCAAAGGAGCAAUGAUGCUUUAUGCUUGAAAAUUCCCUUAAUGAAAGCGUAGCUCCAGUCAUCUGUUUGGUUCUUUACCAAUUUUAACUUUACUACCUUCACACACACGUAUUCUUUAGAAAUCUUAGUAUUGUUCUUUAUGGCGCCAACUCUUUUUGUCUCCCAUUUUCCUUGGGCAGUGGAUGUGGGAAUUUUCAUUAUCUUGAUAAGUUUGUUUUGUACAUAGAAGGAAAGCCAAAUUGUUAAUAACCAAUUUUUUAUUUUAUUUUUAUACAAGCAAUAUUUUACUUUAAUCUAAUCUAAAUUAUGAGGAGAGAGAUUCAAACUCGGUUGCAUAGUGGGGAGCACAUUCGUUCUAGCCAACUUGACUAAGCUUAUGUCUGCUGUCAAUGAACAUUUAAUCCAGUGCACUGAGUCUCCCCCCUAUUGAAGGAUCUCUCAUGUACGAUUAUGUUAGAUUUAGAAAAACAAAACUAAAAAAGAAGGAAACUGGGUUGCAAAAUUAGCUUAAUAGGAUGUACAACGAAAUUCAAAGGCUUAUUUAUUGAUAUGGCCCUUGUGCUUUCAAAAUAGUCUCAGAUUACCAUAUGUUCUUUGAAAUGUCUCAAUAUAUCACCUAUACUUUCAAUAAGUGUCUCACGUUAGCUAUUCCGUCAGAUUUGAGAGAAGUUCCUUUAGCUGAUGUGGGGAUUUCAGAUUUGGGAGAAAAUGGGGAAUUUGAUUUGGGGAUUUCAGAUUUGGGAGAUGAAGGAUGGUUUGAUUUGGGGAUCUCUCAAAUCUGAAAUCCCUAAAUCAAAUUCCUAAUUUUCUCCCAAAUCCCUAAUUUUCUUCCAAAUAUGAACCUCCAGAUUCCCAAAUCUAAAAUUCCCUCAAACUAAUAUUCUUCCCCCAAAUUCCCCAUUUUCUCAACCUGACUAACCCUUCCUCUCCCUUGUUAAGAGAUUGAAAAGAAGUGGGGGGCAUAUCAGCUAACAGAACUUCUCUUAAAUCUGACGGAAUAGCUAACAUGAGACACUUAUUGAAAGUAUAGGUGGUAUAUUAAGACGUUUCAAAGAACAUAUGGUAAUCUGAGACUGUUUUGAAAGCACAAGAGACAUAUCCAUAAAUAAGCCAAUUUCAAAAGAAGCAACUUUCAGAAAACUGUGAUGAAAACCCCAAAAUCGAAGCCAAAUCGCGCAACAGUUAUCAGGCUAGAAGACGCACAGUAUAUGAUUGUGCCAAAGAAAGUAUGCAAUGAAAGGUGCAAAGAUUUCUUCAAUUUUCCUUUUUUUAAUACUAUUUAUAUUACUAGAUAGGUGUCAGAUGCUUAUAUUGGUAGACUGAAUUUGUCCGUCAUCAGAACGACAAUAUUUGUCCAGCAAAGAAAAAAAAACUUUGAACAUGAACAUCGGAGAAAAGUUGACCAGCAGUUUUAGGCCUUUUAAGGGACAUUUGCAAUGCAAUUACUAGCCUAAACUUGAAGGCAAUUCUUUUUAUUUUCAAACUAUUAGCUUUGGCAACUAUAUCAAAGGAUUUAUCACCAAGCCCAACUGAAACAUUUUGAAAUCUCUCGUAACAGCUCCAGAAGUCACUCCCCCUCCUUCCCCUCCCCCCCUCAGCUCUCUGAUAAUUAAAAAGAAUGUAAUAACAAAACAAUAAAUAACGCCACAAGGUGAGGGAGAGAGAGCAAGAGGGGUGGACUGAGUUCCUCUCCAUGCAAAUGCCACUCUACCCUUAACCAGUGGCUCGUGACUGAUGUUAUAAAAUAUCUAUGUACAACCGUUUCGUGAUGACUCCACAACCCUGUAUGUUGCCAGGCUUCAGCCUUGAGCAUCAUAUUGAACUGUACAACCAUUAAAAUAAAAAACAAAUGGAACAACCUGCCGACAGAUGGUCUUCCCUUGGAACCAAAUUUUCAACAUGCGGAGAGGAAAUCCAAGCAUCUGCCAACGUAGGUGGACAAGAUAUUUAGUAACAGUAGGAAAAUAAUCUUUAACAAGCAAACUAUAGAAGUAAGGCCACAGGCAAAGAGUAAAAUGUAGUCGGAAAUUUUAUAGCGUUCCAUAUUGUUCAGAACUUUAGUUUAAAACAUAGCCACUAACCUCAAUGUGCGGUAAACUGGACCAUUAAUGCAAGGUGCAGAUUUAUUGUCAGAACUGGAUAUCCUCUGUUACUAUCAAGAAUCCUUUGUCAUCCCCUGACAUAAAUCUGUGUCACGAUAUAUACCGCCUGAGAUGCCAAACUAGAAUAUUCAGCAACUUGAAUAAAAUGAACACACACCAUGACUUUCAUGAUUGCCUUUACCUUCAAAUCUAAACUAAACCAUGAAGAAAGAACCAAUAGUAGUUUGCCCAAGAACCUUGGAACUUUGAUCAAGACCAUGAGAAGCAACCUGCCACGCAAAACAUAAACUAUUUACCAUAAAACUAAACGCUACCAAGAAUAUUUUUCAAUUGGAACGUAUAAAUUAAGUAUGCUUCUUUAUGAAAACACAGAACAGAACUGCUCAGUUUCAACAUAACACCGUUGUCAGGUUUGCCACGACAAUGUCAUUGAUGGUGGGGGUGGGGCAAAGGGCUACAGGUGGAAGGGAGGGGCGUGAGAGGGAGGGCCAAAGUUUUUAUUCAACUUUUAAAUGAGUGAUAUGUAAGUUAUUUGGAAGAAGAAUUUACCUAUAAAUUACCAUAAGCAACUGUUAAGUGGCAACGAAUUUCAACAUUUAGGUAAAAUAUGAUGCAAACUUAAAAUGUAGCAAAAGAUUCUCACCAAAUAAGUUAAAGCUGCAUAGCGUUCGUCAUUCAAGUACAGCGGCUUUCCUCUUUGCAUUUCAACAUCCUGAAUUUUUUUUUACAAUAAUACAGAAACAUAUAGACCCCUAUAAAUCAAUGAAUGCAAAUAGGAACAAAAACAAGAACAGAAGCAUCCACAGUUACUUCUUCCAACUUCUUCAUUUUUUUCGUAGGCAUUUCUGCAUUUUAUUCAGAGAAAGAAAAACAUAAUAACCGUGUGCAAUAAAGAAAGGGGGAAAUGUCUAAACAUCCAGCAAGGAGCUCAAUUAACAAAGGAAUUAUGUCCUCUUAAAUGCGUAAUCAAUUUAGCCUUCUUUUGCUUCAUUCUAUCCUGUGAAACUCUAAAGUUCUGGC
rnacentral:lncRNA from 1 species